rfam:Ictidomys tridecemlineatus contig063870, whole genome shotgun sequence.
CCAAAGGUUUUUUUUAAAACUAUUGCCAAUACUCCUAGAAUUAUUC